rnacentral:rRNA from 1 species
AACGAACGCUGGCGGCAGGCUUAACACAUGCAAGUCGAACGCCCCGCAAGGGGAGUGGCCGCCGGGUGCGUAACGCGUGGGAACAUACCCUUUCCUGCGGAAUAGCUCCGGGAAACUGGAAUUAAUACCGCAUACGCCCUACGGGGGAAAGAUUUAUCGGGGAAGGAUUGGCCCGCGUUGGAUUAGCUAGUUGGUGGGGUAAAGGCCUACCAAGGCGACGAUCCAUAGCUGGUCUGAGAGGAUGAUCAGCCACAUUGGGACUGAGACACGGCCCAAACUCCUACGGGAGGGAGCAGUGGGGAAUAUUGGACAAUGGGCGCAAGCCUGAUCCAGCCAUGCCGCGUGAGUGAUGAAGGCCUUAGGGUUGUAAAGCUCUUUCACCGAUGAAGAUAAUGACGGUAGUCGGAGAAGAAGCCCCGGCUAACUUCGUG